rnacentral:rRNA from 1 species
GAUGAACGCUGGCGGUAUGCUUAACACAUGCAAGUCGAACGGACUCUUCGGAGUUAGUGGCGGACGGGUGAGUAACGCGUGAGAAUCUGGCUUUGGGUUCGGGACAACCACUGGAAACGGUGGCUAAUACCGGAUGUGCCGAGAGGUAAAAGAGAAAUUGCCUGAAGAUGAGCUCGCGUCUGAUUAGCUAGUUGGUGAGGUAAAGGCUCACCAAGGCAGCGAUCAGUAGCGGGUCUGAGAGGAUGACCAGCCACACUGGGACUGAGACACGGCCCAGACUCCUCGGGGGGGAAGAAGGGGGGAUUUUCCCGAAAGGGGCAAAGGCGGGACGGAGAAAUCCGGGGGGGGGAAAAAGGGCUCUGGGGUUGAAACCCUUUUCCCUGAGGAAAAAAAAAAAGGAGGGAACCUAAGAAAGCAGAACCGGCAAACCCCGUC